CUUUAGUAGAAUGAAGUUCAGGUGCUGCUGACACAGGAGGGUUUGUUAGCCUGUCCACAGUAGCUAACAGGACACGAGCAUUAUUAUUGUUUCUGGUGAUGAUGUCAGAGAAGAAAGACUGCCUUGCCAGAUUAAAGUGAUCAGAUUUGAUAA